rnacentral:rRNA from 1 species
UAGGGAAUCUUCGGCAAUGGGGGCAACCCUGACCGAGCAACGCCGCGUGAGUGAAGAAGGUUUUCGGAUCGUAAAGCUCUGUUGUAAGAGAAGAACGAGUGUGAGAGUGGAAAGUUCACGCUGUGACGGUAUCUUACCAGAAAGGGACGGCUAACUACGUGCCAGCAGCCGCGGUAAUACGUAGGUCCCGAGCGUUAUCCGGAUUUAUUGGGCGUAAAGCGAGCGCAGGCGGUUAGAUAAGUCUGAAGUUAAAGGCUGCGGCUUAACCAUAGUACGCUUUGGAAACUGUUUAACUUGAGUGCAAGAGGGGAGAGUGGAAUUCCAUGUGUAGCGGUGAAAUGCGUAGAUAUAUGGAGGAACACCGGUGGCGAAAGCGGCUCUCUGGCUUGUAACUGACGCUGAGGCUCGAAAGCGUGGGGAGCAAACAGGAUUAGAUACCCUGGUAGUCCACGCCGUAAACGAUGAGUGCUAGGUGUUAGACCCUUUCCGGGGUUUAGUGCCGCAGCUAACGCAUUAAGCACUCCGCCUGGGGAGUACGACCGCAAGGUUG